AGGAAAUGACGAAGAAACUUCAUGAAAAACGCAGUUUUCAACAAGAUAAUGUAGAAAAUUAAGUAUCUUAAUCUCUAUCAUUCUCUCACAUAAAAAUUGUUUCUCUUAACACAAUUUUCUAAAGUGUUUUUAUAAAAUAAAAUAUUUCUCGUCUUCGUACGUAUAUAUCAUAUUUGACUCUUAAUGAUGCACAACAGUACCUGGAAACUAUUACUAAAUCGAAAAUACGAAUACGGGAUAUGGAAGUAUCGUAAAAAUCUUUAGUUGAUUUAGAGCCCACCCAGACCAGACCAACAUCAGACCCAAGCGUCGCAUCGAAUCGUCGGAUGUCGACAAUAAGAAGCUUACCGAGUUACACGGAGCCUGGGCGAAGCCCGGGCCUCUCGGUCGAGCUCUCGUUUUAUGCCACGUUUACCGAGCGUGAAACACUCUCUUCAGACAUGUGUCCUCUUCCGAUUUUCCCGGGAAUCUAAAUCAGCGUUUAAAUCAGCGACCCGCUAAGCUGGUACGUCUGGGCCAUAUUCUCACGAACAGAGAAACGUGGACUCAUAAAAGCGCGAAAAAAUCGAAAGUGAUCGAUUUUUCAUGCGAUAUAUAGCAUUAUUAAUAAAUAAUAUAACGUAUAUUAAAAUAUAAUAAAAAUAAUAUAUAAUUAAAUCAAAUUUAAUAUCAAAUAAUUAUAUAGAUGUACUUAUUUAGAUUCACUAGAUAUAAUUAUCUAUAAAAAAAUAUUAUAACAUAAGAAUCUGAGAAAUAUGCAGUUAUGUUUCCAAUCAAGUGCAUCAUUUGCCUUUGAGUUGACAUGUGUUGAAUAACAGCUCGUAAGACGUAACGCACUUGACGUUCCCUGUAUAUCAGUGUAAUUAGAUAUACCCAUCGCUCACGAUUACGGAAACUACGUGCAGGUGUGUUUCGUCCUAGACAAUUUGCAUCGAGCUCCGCGCUCAUAGGUGUUCGCUACGUAAUUGCGUGGACACUUCGAAACGUACGGUUAUCAUGUUAUAGAUAACGGUCACUCGUCAUCGUUAUUAUAGUUCCCCGCAGUCGCGCAAACGGCGACGUUCUCCUCGAGAAAGGAUCCUGGCGCUGUCCGUCAAGGAAUCCUCAUUCAUUCCACUUCUGAGAAAAACCCGUCCGUGACAGAAAGAGUUUACCUCGUAAUUUUCAUCGCCGCGAUAAUCGUGUUACGAGUAAAUCGUGAAAUAUUGUCUGUACAGUGGUAAAGCUUCUUAACUUUGUUAAGAAUAUCUGUCCUAACAUGUUGUACGAAAUACAAAGUUAAAGAAGAUAAUAAAAUUUUUCACUUUUAUUUCAGACUUUGUAUAUCACGCGAUAAAAUUACUAAAAUUAAAUUACUAAAAUUAAAUUACAAUUCUUCGCACGGUAUAUUUUUCUUUUUAAGCUUCUUAAUCGCAAAAGGCCGUACUCUUUGAGACCGGUCUCGGAUAUAUUUGUUUUUGCACCAUGACGAAAACCACGAAUUUGCCUGAUUGGUCGCUUGUUCUAGCCGCGUUUUCUCGACGAGGAUCGUGAACCGGAGGACCAGCGAGACUUUAUUAUUAAGUUUCGCGUUUACCUUGCGGUGCACCACCGCGACAAUUAACUGCAAACGAGUGCACGCGAGAGGGUGUUGUCGGCCGAGCGGCUUUUCCGGGGUGCGCUCUGCGCCGACGAGGGGGUGUUUAUUAAUUAAUGAAGCGCGCGCGAUGUGCAUGACUUGAAUCACAAACAACGUUGGGAAGACGAGCCUUUGCGCGAAGGGACCAGAACUGUUGUCCUCACUUUAUGAAAACUGAUAAUAUGGAAUAUUGAUAGAGAAAGAAAUAAGCAAGAUAGCAGUCUAAAGCUGGAUACAAUUAUUAUUGAAAAAAAAAGAGGAAAAUUACUGGAACUUGUGUAUUUAGAACAUUUUGAGUUCAGAAUCAGAAAACGCAACAUCAAGAAUUUCAUUAUACUUAUAAAAAUUUUAUUAGUACUUAAAAAUAUUAAAUUUUUUAAUAUUAAAUUUCUUCAUAAUUAAUUCGCAAAUUAAAAUUAUAUAGAAUUACAAAAUAUAAUGAAGCAUAAGUUUUUUUGUUUUUUCUCAUUUUACUUUUAUUCUCUCGUUAAGACUUUUUAAUAGCUACGUAUUGAUAUUUCGGGAAAAUAAUACACCUCAAAGUCGAUGCAGUCUUCAUAUAGUAUAACUCGAAAGUACAUUUCUUCCUAACUUUGGAUCUAAAAUAAGAAGAAUCAUUUGUUUUGAAGUAGAGACGCAAAUGGUUUUUAAGUAGUAAACAAGUGAAAAUUAUAAAGGUUUUAGCGAAUUGAGUUUAAGAAUGUGAGUAAUGUAAUUUCUAUAACUUCGACACUUCUUACAUUUUUAUUGUUUAAAAAUGUAAGUAAUGGAAUUCUUAUGACUUCAACACUUUUUACAUUUUUAUCGUUUACAAGAUACUCGAGAAAUGGAUCAAAAAUUAAAAGACCACACACGCGCAAUUUCUUUAAACAAACUCUCGACGUAAUCUCAUACAUUUUUAAUAUAAAAAAUAGCAUUUCUUUCCGUUUCUCUCCUUCUUUCCCUCUCGAAUAAGUAUUCCAUUGUUGGAUAUCGAAUGUACAUGGGGUUAUCAAUUCAAGGACAAGAAUUUGACGAAUAUGGCAGAAGACGUUAACACAUCCGCGCACGCGACUUACACAAGGAUAAAAAGCCGGACGGAACAAAAACGGAAGAGGAAGCGCCCGCGCGCACGGGGUCGAGCGGACACGGAGAGAAGGAAGAGAGCAGAAAAGAAAGAGGAUUACACGGGAGGCAGAGAGGGUGAACGAACAACGAUGGAGGCUCGAGGGCGGCUGAAGAGGACGAGGGCGAAGGGUAGGCAACAAGAUCGAUAAACCAAGAUGGCGACGCGCAUUGCCGCAGAGUACCGCAGCCCGGCUCUCGACCGUCCUCGGAUCAUCCACGGCGUGUGUAGCUUUUAAACGCACGCACACACAAGCGUCCAUUAACGGGACACACACGUCGGAUGUAGCGUCGUCGUCGUCGUCGUCGUCGUAAUCGCAACAGAGCGCUUCCUCCCACGGUAUACUUCCCGUAAAUAACGCAUGAAAUACGCGUUGUGUUCGAAUAUCCGAUUCGAUCAUACUUAAUAAUAAUAGUAGUGACGGGGGCGGUCCUCCUGCGAAGCCCACUUUGGCACUUAGACCGAGUCCAUUGUGCCUCAAGUUCGUUCGAUCAUACUUACAUCACCGUCGGAUGUUUACGUUCCUUGCUCCUAAAUCUUAAAACUCGUUUUCGAGCGAGCGAAGGGAAACAAUCACGCAAACUGAAUGCGCCAGUGAUCAAGAUAUAUUCAUGGUCAGACAGUCCUCGCAUUUCGGUUCUACUCGAUUCCGUAGACAUAUCUGUUCUAUUAUAACCACGCAUUACUUUCCACAAUGUUUUCUUUUUUCAAAAAACUUCUAAAAAUAUUAAAAUUUCAUUUUCUUUGGAAAAUAUGCAACUAUUGUUCCUUAUUUUUAACUUAUUUUAAUUUUAAAUUAUUCUAUCUUGUUUUCAUUUUGCUUAUUUAGUAGAAGUUUCACCAAAAUUAAAAAAAAAAAUAAUUUCCGUGCAAAUUGUUACUGCAAAGUGUACAUAUUAAUAUUGUAUAUGUGUGUGUAAAAAUAUUUAUUAAAAAGUAUUAAAUUUUUGAAAUUAUGAAAAUUGUAAUGUUAAUAAAUAACUAUUGUAUAAUAUAUUUUAAUAAAAUUAUAAUUUUUAUAAAUUAACGUUCAAAACAAUCAUAAAAGCUAGGUAUUAAUAUUUAAAUAUAACAAACAACAAAUAUUUUAAUAAUCUUCAUAUUACAUAUUACGUAUUAAUUAUAAAUUACAUCGUGUAUUAUUGAUACGUAUUAUAGAUAUGUUUCAAUUUUCAUUUAUUUCAAUUUUAAUAAAUUACAUACAUUUGCAUGUUUUAAAUUUAAUAAUUUAUAUUUUAACAAAUCAAUAAAAGAAAAUACGAACUUACACGUUUCUUAUUUGCUGACAAAUGGUAAGGAAUGAUUGCAACAAUCGGCAACACGCAUUCGUAUUACAGUUUUCCUCACGCUAAGCCCGAUGAAAAUCGCGAUUGUGUGCGAUCGAGACGGGCCUCGAUUCGCCACAGGCACGUCGGAUGUGCAUUGCACUCGCGGAAAAUUGAAACGCUGAUGCGAGGAGAGCGCGCAUGAGAUUAUUUCACUCGGUACUCCGCGUCGCGCGUCCGCCACUCGAACGCGAAUGCACUCCAUGAAUACCUGCAGACAUCUUCGAUCCAACAGCACGCUCGACUGCUCUUCCGCGUUCCUGAGAAAAAUUCCCGACGAGAUAACCCGUCGUAUCUAGCAUUUCGCCACGACGCGACUCUAUGUUCCAGCACGAGAAAGGGGAUAGUAGAUAGAGGAAUAAAGCGCGGAGUUUAAUGCCUUCUUCGCGAUUGCAUCGCGGAAACACUGAUACCGUGUACUUUCAAUUACAAAAACCGUUCUGUAAUUAGAGGAAUUCAUCGGUCGAAGUCUUUUAAUCAUCGUGCGUUUUGUGAGUGCAAUUCUAUUUCUCUAUUUGCAGGAAGGACGGCAAAUUCAAAGCCCUUUAAUUUUAGAACGACUGUACAGAAUAUCAUGAAUGAAAACGGACGCGGACGGCUGCAACAGAAUCUUCAAUGGGCAAGUGCCAUCCGCAACGGGCGGAUUUUUCUCACCAGGCUUGUAUCCUAUCCUCUCGCAUCCCCUCUCGCGAAUUCCCUUACCGAGUAUUUCGCUACCUUCACUUUUGCGUUCAUCCAUAUUCACCCUCUCUGCGUCGCGCAUCACCGAGGAGCUCCCGUAAUCUCGAAAGUAGUGAUGGCAACGAUAACGACGACGACGAAGAUCGUUUAUUUCGCUAUUGAUUCGUAUCGUGUUCGAUCUCGCCCAGCCCAGCUCGCCCCCAAAACCAAGCGAGACUCUCCUCUCGGGAACUCCCGAGAGAGGAGGAGCUGAUUUGUCGUCAUCGUCGCGCGCAAACGGAAUCGUUACGAGCGUAAGGCUCUGAGAGAUACGGCCCCGGAGGGUAUUUACGGGCGAUAGCUGUUCGAGAGUGCCCGAGGCAUUUAUAAAGUCCCAUCAAACCCUCCGGAGGAAACGGCCCGACCACGGUGUCAAUCAUAGUCGCCGAGCUGUAAGAACGGACCCACCAUGGCACGUGUCCGCGCAACUUCCGUGGUAAGAUAAGGGGUGAGCAGUCUCUGGGAGAAAUGUACUCAAUACGUAACGUCUCCCUAGAUUUUCUUGGGAAAUUCAGGUGUCAAUUUUUCCUCGGCGGAAAUUCAAUUAUAAGCGUAAGCUUCUGUCGUAAUAUAUAUCAAGUUUUUUAUAAUUACAUAUUUAAAAAAAAACACAACCUAUAACUUUCAAUUGAUAAGUUAAUUAAACACAAAAUUGAAAAAUGUAUAUAAAGUUAAUUCGAAAAUAUUAUUAGACAUUAAGAUCCAUUUAUUCCGUUCCCUCAGUCGUGCCUUUCUUAAAAAAAUUAGAAUUCAUUAUUUUUCCGACAAAGCUUUAAAAAAAGAAUCUGUGUAAUAUUUCAAAUUUUUAUAAUGUUAAAUAUUUUACCGAUUAUACUAUCAAAUAAAUAUAUUCUAUUUAUAUAAAUAGAUUUCGUAAAUUAUAGAUACCGAUAGUUAAUAAGACUGCAUGUAGAUAGAAAUAAUUUAGAGAUCACUAUUUUGCAAAUCUCUAUUAUCUUUUUCCGAUUACAGCUCGCCGAAAAAGCUCGUCCUGAAUGAGAAAGAACGUUCAGCUUUAACACCCACCUUGUGUCGCGUGACUAACUAUACCCACGACAUGCGAGUCUGCGGUUAUUUGCAAGGGGAAGCUGUCGACUUCCGAGCUUUGCCUCCACUCGUGAAAAAAGAAGAGCCAAGUAACACGUGAACUUAAUGCACCAAACGUAUGAAGUGAUUUCAACGAGUAUCAAUGACACGAUAGUAUGAAACAUUCGAUAUAAAGGGGAAUGACAUGUUGAGGAAAACAUUAGAUCGCAGAGCAGGACAAAGAGCGAUUGAGCGAGAGAGUUGAGUAGGAAUGAUGAUGUAAACCGCGAGUAAGCAUCGUUUCCUGACAUAGCUCGUGCUGUUCGAGCUCUUCGAAAUGGACACAUGCAUAAAGUAAGCAGAGCACGUGGCUGUAUGACGAGAGACGACUCGAUUUCAAUAGCUCACGCGCGCGCGAGGAGAGUCAUUUCUAUGAAGUACUACCCUUAAUAUGAACACCUCCUUUCAUACUUUGCACUUUUGCCUCCACCGAGCUUAUUCAUCAUCGCUUUUUUUGACGUUCGUGAAAUUAACAGACUCACUGUGGUUAUUUAAAUUAAUAAGGGAUAAAUAAAGGAUAAACGACCUUUUUUUACAAUUAUUUUUAAAUUUUAUAUCAAACUAGAUUUUUUAACACUCUGGCCGUUUUAAUAUUAUAUAAA